rnacentral:rRNA from 1 species
AACGAACGCUGGCGGCAGGCUUAACACAUGCAAGUCGAACGCCCCGCAAGGGGAGUGGCAGACGGGUGAGUAACGCGUGGGAACGUACCUUUCGCUUCGGAAUAUUCCCGGGAAACUGGGAGCAAUGCCGAAUACGCCGUAUUGGGAAAGAUUUAUCGGCGAAAGAUCGGCCCGCGUUAGAUUAGGUAGUUGGCGGUGUAAUGGACCACCAAGCCUACGAUCUGUAGCUGGUCUGAGAGGACGACCAGCCACACUGGGACUGAGACACGGCCCAGGCUUCAACAGGAAGGCUGCAGUGGGGAAUACUGGGCAAUGCGCUAACGCGUGACCCGGCGAUGUGACCGGGGGAUUGAAAGUUAACUGUAAACCCCAGACUAAAUGUGAGCAUAAUGACUCAAACAUGGUGCUGAAGUCCUGGCUAAUUCUUGUGCCAGCAGCCGCGGUAAUAC